rnacentral:rRNA from 1 species
UGAGUAACCUGCCCUUAACUCUGGGAUAAGCCUGGGAAACCGGGUCUAAUACUGGAUACGACCUUCUGGCGCAUGCCAUGUUGGUGGAAAGCUUUUGCGGUUUUGGAUGGACUCGCGGCCUAUCAGCUUGUUGGUGAGGUAAUGGCUCACCAAGGCGACGACGGGUAGCUGGUCUGAGAGGAUGGCCAGCCACAGUUGGGACUGAGACACGGCCCAGACCUCCGUACGGGAGCAG